CGGCACGGGUGAGUAACACGUGAGUGACCUGCCUUUUAGACUGGAACAACUUACCGAAAGGUGGGCUAAUGCCGGAUGAGUUAUAUAAGUGCAUGUUUAUAUAGGAAAAGUUGGGGAGACCUGACGCUGAAAGAUGGACUCGCGUCCCAUUAGCUAGUUGGUAGGGUAAUGGCCUACCAAGGCGACGAUGGGUAGCCGGCCUGAGAGGGUGGCCGGCCACACUGGGACUGAGACACGGCCCAGACUCCUACGGGAGGCAGCAG
rnacentral:rRNA from 1 species